rnacentral:lncRNA from 1 species
AAAACUAUAAACAACUAGUUACUAUCUCAUGUAAAAAUCAAACCCCAAGCCAUACUAGAAUAUGAGUAAGCACAAAACUGAAAAACAUGUUUAAGGUGAUGUUGUUAGAACUUAAUUGCAUAAACAACUAAAAACACUAACCCGUGUAGCCAUAUGAACAACACAAAAGUCUUCUCCUUUCUGCAAGCCCUUGAUCACACAAUCGCUAAAUGGGGUACUUAAUCCCUAUUUAUGUAUGUAAGGGUACCAUACUAACAAAAUUCCAUUACUAACAUAAGCAGAGAGACCCUUCCAAUUUAUGUAUAUAACCACUUGCAAAAGCAGAGAUCCUUGUUUUUAUAUUUAAGACAUCUUAGCUCAAUAGGAUACUUAAUCACAUACAAUAUAAGGAGCAGGAAGAGUUAGACUUAAACGCAAUGUUUGCCAACACAACUUCAAACUAAGUAUAAGGUGUGUGAUUGAUUGCCUGCUUACAGUUGCAUGUGUACAAAUUAUUUUAUUUUAGUAACUUUCCUAACAGUUAUGGCGUUUGUAUUUCAUGUAGGUAAGUUCAAGGUGAUUUCUGCGGGGCAUAGAAAUUAUGACAUGGAGUCGUUACUCCUAUAUAUAUUCUAAUCUUUUCUUCUCUUUUCUUUUCUCUUUUUGGCCAAUAGCCAAUGUAUGAUAAUGUAAACAGAUAUAACUAAGCGUUUGCAAUUGCUACUUUUUCUGUUUUUGUUGUUUUUUUUCACCUUUUCUGCAGAUUGCGAGGUGGGCUUAAGAAAACGCCGCCAAUACAAUAACAACAACAAAAAAGUCGAGCCAUUAGUGCAGCACUAAGCCUAAAACCAAGCCUUAUUUGCGUGAGUGGUGAUUUCCAAACUGAACUUUCGAAAUGAUAGUUUAUUUGAAUAUUAGGCAAAUGCAAUUUGCAUGCGUGGUGUGCUGCUGCUGCAAGACGAGAAGAGAAACGGGAAUGUUGUGCAACUUGUUUAAUGAAAUGGUCAUGUCUGUACAAAUUAUAUACUCAAUUAGGAAGGAAUGUGUGGGAUUAGGUGAGUAGAAGAAGAACCUCCUGUACCACGUGAACUCAAAAGUCAAAGAGACUGCCAUUAAAAUAAAUAUGAACACCUAACUGUGAUAAAAGGCCACCACUAGUUUUCCACAAUUUUCAACAUCUCCAUCUCUAUCUUUCAUUCAUUAACUUAUCUACACACAUAUAUAUAUAUAUAUAUAUACACAUACAUAAAUAGUACACUCC